rnacentral:rRNA from 1 species
AGCGAACGCUGGCGGCAGGCUUAACACAUGCAAGUCGAGCGGGCACUUUCGGGUGUCAGCGGCGGACGGGUGAGUAACGCGUGGGAACGUGCCCUCUGGUUCGGAAUAACUCAGGGAAACUUGAGCUAAUACCGGAUACGCCCUUUUGGGGAAAGGCUUGCUGCCGGAGGAUCGGCCCGCGUCUGAUUAGCUAGUUGGUGAGGUAACGGCUCACCAAGGCGACGAUCAGUAGCUGGUCUGAGAGGAUGAUCAGCCACACUGGGACUGAGACACGGCCCAGACUCCUACGGGAGGCAGCAGUGGGGAAUAUUGGACAAUGGGCGCAAGCCUGAUCCAGCCAUGCCGCGUGAGUGAUGAAGGCCUUAGGGUUGUAAAGCUCUUUUAUCCAGGACGAUAAUGACGGUACCGGAGGAAUAAGCCCCGGCUAACUUCGUG